rnacentral:rRNA from 1 species
AUUGAACGCUGGCGGCAGGCCUAACACAUGCAAGUCGGACGGUAGCACAGAGGAGCUUGCUCCUCGGGUGACGAGUGGCGGACGGGUGAGUAAUGUCUGGGGAUCUGCCCGAUAGAGGGGGAUAACCACUGGAAACGGUGGCUAAUACCGCAUAACGUCGCAAGACCAAAGAGGGGGACCUUCGGGCCUCUCACUAUCUGAUGAACCCAGAUGGGAUUAGCUAGUAGGCGGGGUAACGGCCCACCUAGGCGACGAUCCCUAGCUGGUCUGGGAGGAUGACCCGCCACACUGGAACUGAGAAACGGGCAAGACUCCUACGGGAGGCAGCAGUGGGGAAUAUUGCACAAUGGGCGCAAGCCUGAUGCAGCCAUGCCGGGUGUAUGAAGAAGGCCUUCGGGUUGUAAAGUACUUUCAGCGGGGAGGAAGGCGAUGUGGUUAAUAACCGCGUCGAUUGACGCUACCCGCAGAAGAAGCACCGGCUAACUCCGUGCCAGCCGCCGCCGUAACAC